AUUUUUUGAAUCUCUUGAACAUCGAACACAGUAGCGUACAGUGGACGAAUAUAAAAAAAAAGCAAAUCGUUUUUCAUUUAUCAACGACGGAUCUUCCCCUGAAAAAUGGCGGUCGCCUGUGACGGUUGUCAAUGGAGUCACAAAAAACGUCGAAAGUUCACCUCAACUCAUUUCCACCGCGAGUGCAUCCGCGAAACCGAAUACGGUUAUGUGAUGGGUGUUUCGGGGCCAGUAGUGACAGCCGACAGAAUGUCGGGUGCCGCGAUGUACGAAAUUGUUCGAAUAGGUCACAAUAAGCUCGUCGGUGAGAUCAUACGCCUCCACAAUGACACCGCGACGAUCCAAGUCUACGAGGACACAAGUGGAAUAACCGUCGGGGAGCCAGUCCUCAAGACAGGCUCCCCACUAUCGGUGGAGUUGGCUCCUGGGAUCCUGGGAGGUAUAUUCGACGGCAUCCAAAGACCCCUGCAGACCAUAGCAGAAGUGUCGGGUAAGAUAUUCAUCCCCAAAGACAUCCACGUACUCCCCAUCAACAGGGGAUCCCUCUGGGACUUUCAGCCCUUCAACGUCCGGGUAGGAUCCCCAGUAACGGGGGGCGACAUCUUCGGAGUGGUAUUCGAGAACACCCUGGUGAAGCACUACAUGAUGAUCCCGCCCAAGUGCCAGGGACAGGUCACCUACCUCGCCCCUCCAGGAAGCUACACCGUUGACGAUACAAUUCUUGAGGUGGAAUUCGACGACGAAUGCACGGAGCACUGCAUGCUUCAGACAUGGCCCGUAAGAACUCCUCGUCCCACCUGCGAGAAGCUCGCAGCCUCCCACCCCCUCCUGACUGGCCAAAGAAUCCUCGACUCCCUCUUCCCCUGCGUCCAGGGUGGAACCACCGCCAUUCCGGGUGCCUUUGGCUGCGGGAAGACAGUGAUCUCCCAAUCCUUAUCGAAAUACUCCAACUCAGAUGUUAUCGUCUACGUCGGCUGUGGAGAACGCGGGAACGAGAUGUCCGAGGUCCUCCGAGACUUUCCGGAGCUGUCGGUCGAGAUUGACGGCGCCACCGAAUCCAUCAUGAAGCGUACGACCCUCGUCGCCAACACCUCCAACAUGCCUGUUGCUGCUAGAGAAGCGUCAAUCUAUACUGGCAUCACCAUUGCCGAGUACUUCAGGGACAUGGGGUACAACGUCUCCAUGAUGGCGGAUUCAACGUCCAGGUGGGCAGAGGCUCUCCGAGAGAUCAGUGGAAGGCUUGGAGAGCUUCCAGCGGACUCUGGGUAUCCGGCUUACCUGGGGGCAAGACUUUCUAGCUUCUACGAGAGAGCUGGCAAGGCUCGUUGUCUUGGGAGCCCUAGGCGGGAGGGCUCUGUCAGCAUCUUGGGAGCAGUAUCACCUCCAGGAGGCGACUUCUCCGAUCCCGUGACCAGCGCUACUCUGGGGAUCACUCAGGUCUUCUGGGCGUUGGACAAGAAAUUGGCACAACGGAAACACUUUCCCGCUGUCAACUGGCUGAUGAGCUACAGCAAAUAUCUGAGGACCCUGGACGAUUUCUAUGACGAACAUUUCCGAGGAUUUGGGGAGCUCAGGAAGAAGACCAAAGAAGUCCUGCAGGAGGAGGAGGAGCUUAAUGAGAUUGUGCAGCUGGUGGGGACGGGAUCGUUGUCGGAGAGUGAUAAGGUUGUGCUGGAAGUCUCGAAGAUGCUUAAGGAUGACUUCCUUCAGCAGAAUAGCUACUCCGCUUAUGACAGGUUCAGCCCGUUUUAUAAGACCUUCGGAAUGCUGAGGAAUAUCAUGAAGUUUCAUGAUUGCUCGAUGGAAGCGGUGAAGAGGAACGACAGGACGGGGCAGAGGAUCACUUGGGAGGGGGUCAAGGAUACGAUGGGGCCGAUCAUUUAUAGACUGAGUUAUAUGAAGUUUAUGGAUCCGAUCAAGGACGGCGAGGAGAAGAUUAGUAAAGCUUUUGGGAGGAUCUAUGAGGAUAUGGUUCGAGCUUUCGAGAUGCUUCAUCAUUAGGAUUUUAUUUUUUCAUGAGGUCAUUGGCAUUUGUGGACAAUAUACUUCAGGGUGGCAUAGGAGAUGUGAAAGCAGCUCAUCAAGAAUCAGCUCAGCACAUAACAAAGUAUGCAGAGGAGGGCAUAUCCUUCCUGAAGAAUCGCCAAGAAUUCUGGCGCCAGCAGCGUUCAGUCCCUCUCAAGUGAUGAGC